rnacentral:snRNA from 1 species
GGAUGCGAGGGUGAUGUGGCUAUGACAUCUGUCACUUCAUUGAUCACCAGGGUUGAUUCAGCUGAUCUUGCUGACUAGGUGUGUGUCCCCUUCCUCCCUUACUGCUCCGUGUGCAUCCCUCCCGAAGCUGUGUGCUUGCUCGAAAAGGAUGACCUUCCCUGCUAGAGGAGGUCCGGUCUUCAGUCAAGGGUAUACAAGUAACUGCGCUCCCCUGCUAGAACUUCCAAAGAUUAGGAUUGUUAUAUCCUCUUAUUGACUUGAUCCUUUUACAUUAUUAAGUGAUUUUAUUUAUUCUUAGUA